GGUUAAGCGACUAAGCGUACACGGUGGAUGCCCUGGCAGUCAGAGGCGAUGAAGGACGUGCUAAUCUGCGAAAAGCGUCGGUAAGGUGAUAUGAACCGUUAUAACCGGCGAUGUCCGAAUGGGGAAACCCAGUGCAAUUCGUUGCACUAUCGUUAACUGAAUACAUAGGUUAACGAGGCGAACCGGGGGAACUGAAACAUCUAAGUACCCCGAGGAAAAGAAAUCAACCGAGAUUCCCCCAGUAGCGGCGAGCGAACGGGGAGCAGCCCAGAGUCUGAAUCAGCUUGUGUGUUAGUGGAACGGUCUGGAAAGUCCGACGGUACAGGGUGAUAGUCCCGUACACCAAAAUGCACAGGCUGUGAACUCGAAGAGUAGGGCGGGACACGUGGUAUCCUGUCUGAAUAUGGGGGGACCAUCCUCCAAGGCUAAAUACUCCUGACUGACCGAUAGUGAACCAGUACCGUGAGGGAAAGGCGAAAAAGAACCCCGGCGAGGGGAGUGAAAAAAGAACCUGAAACCGUGUACGUACAAGCAGUGGGAGCACCUUCGGGUGUGACUGCGUACCUUUUGUAUAAUGGGUCAGCGACUUAUAUUCUGUAGCAAGGUUAACCGUAUAGGGGAGCCGCAGGGAAACCGAGUCUUAACUGGGCGUUAAGUUGCAGGGUAUAGACCCGAAACCCGGUGAUCUAGCCAUGGGCAGGUUGAAGGUUGGGUAACACUAACUGGAGGACCGAACCGACUAAUGUUGAAAAAUUAGCGGAUGACUUGUGGCUGGGGGUGAAAGGCCAAUCAAACCGGGAGAUAGCUGGUUCUCCCCGAAAGCUAUUUAGGUAGCGCCUCGUGAAUUCAUCUUCGGGGGUAGAGCACUGUUUCGGCUAGGGGGUCAUCCCGACUUACCAACCCGAUGCAAACUACGAAUACCGAAGAAUGUUAUCACGGGAGACACACGGCGGGUGCUAACGUCCGUCGUGAAGAGGGAAACAACCCAGACCGCCAGCUAAGGUCCCAAAGUCAUGGUUAAGUGGGAAACGAUGUGGGAAGGCACAGACAGCCAGGAUGUUGGCUUAGAAGCAGCCAUCAUUUAAAGAAAGCGUAAUAGCUCACUGGUCGAGUCGGCCUGCGCGGAAGAUGUAACGGGGCUAAACCAUGCACCGAAGCUGCGGCAGCGACACUAUGUGUUGUUGGGUAGGGGAGCGUUCUGUAAGCCUGCGAAGGUGUGCUGUGAGGCAUGCUGGAGGUAUCAGAAGUGCGAAUGCUGACAUAAGUAACGAUAAAGCGGGUGAAAAGCCCGCUCGCCGGAAGACCAAGGGUUCCUGUCCAACGUUAAUCGGGGCAGGGUGAGUCGACCCCUAAGGCGAGGCCGAAAGGCGUAGUCGAUGGGAAACAGGUUAAUAUUCCUGUACUUGGUGUUACUGCGAAGGGGGGACGGAGAAGGCUAUGUUAGCCGGGCGACGGUUGUCCCGGUUUAAGCAUGUAGGCUGGUUGUCCAGGCAAAUCCGGAUAAUCAAGGCUGAGGUGUGAUGACGAGGCACUACGGUGCUGAAGUAACAAAUGCCCUGCUUCCAGGAAAAGCCUCUAAGCAUCAGGUAACAUCAAAUCGUACCCCAAACCGACACAGGUGGUCAGGUAGAGAAUACCAAGGCGCUUGAGAGAACUCGGGUGAAGGAACUAGGCAAAAUGGUGCCGUAACUUCGGGAGAAGGCACGCUGGUGUGUAGGUGAAGCCCCUGCGGGUGGAGCUGAGACCAGUCGAAGAUACCAGCUGGCUGCAACUGUUUAUUAAAAACACAGCACUGUGCAAACACGAAAGUGGACGUAUACGGUGUGACGCCUGCCCGGUGCCGGAAGGUUAAUUGAUGGGGUUAUCCGUAAGGAGAAGCUCUUGAUCGAAGCCCCGGUAAACGGCGGCCGUAACUAUAACGGUCCUAAGGUAGCGAAAUUCCUUGUCGGGUAAGUUCCGACCUGCACGAAUGGCGUAAUGAUGGCCAGGCUGUCUCCACCCGAGACUCAGUGAAAUUGAACUCGCUGUGAAGAUGCAGUGUACCCGCGGCAAGACGGAAAGACCCCGUGAACCUUUACUAUAGCUUGACACUGAACAUUGAGCCUUGAUGUGUAGGAUAGGUGGGAGGCUUUGAAGCGUGGACGCCAGUCUGCGUGGAGCCAACCUUGAAAUACCACCCUUUAAUGUUUGAUGUUCUAACGUUGGCCCCUGACCGGGGUUGCGGACAGUGUCUGGUGGGUAGUUUGACUGGGGCGGUCUCCUCCCAAAGCGUAACGGAGGAGCACGAAGGUUAGCUAAUCCUGGUCGGACAUCAGGAGGUUAGUGCAAUGGCAUAAGCUAGCUUGACUGCGAGCGUGACGGCGCGAGCAGGUGCGAAAGCAGGUCAUAGUGAUCCGGUGGUUCUGAAUGGAAGGGCCAUCGCUCAACGGAUAAAAGGUACUCCGGGGAUAACAGGCUGAUACCGCCCAAGAGUUCAUAUCGACGGCGGUGUUUGGCACCUCGAUGUCGGCUCAUCACAUCCUGGGGCUGAAGUAGGUCCCAAGGGUAUGGCUGUUCGCCAUUUAAAGUGGUACGCGAGCUGGGUUUAGAACGUCGUGAGACAGUUCGGUCCCUAUCUGCCGUGGGCGCUGGAGAAUUGAGGGGGGCUGCUCCUAGUACGAGAGGACCGGAGUGGACGCAUCACUGGUGUUCGGGUUGUCAUGCCAAUGGCACUGCCCGGUAGCUAAAUGCGGAAGAGAUAAGUGCUGAAAGCAUCUAAGCACGAAACUUGCCCCGAGAUGAGUUCUCCCUGAGACUUUAAGUCUCCUGAAGGAACGUUAAAGACGAUGACGUUGAUAGGCCGGGUGUGUAAGCGCAGCGAUGCGUUGAGCUAACCGGUACUAAUGAACCGUGA
rfam:Klebsiella pneumoniae ISC21, WGS project CBWQ01000000 data, contig: c132